GUGAGCCACCACACUCAGCCUAGCUGUGUGAUUUUGAAUAAGCUUCUUGAGCUCCAUUUUCUCAUCUGUAAAAUGAGGAUAAUGAUGGUCUCUAUGAUUGAAUAAGUUAAUGCAUGUAGAGGGUUUAGAGCAGCAUCUGGUAUACACAGACCCCUCAGUAGAGACAGUAUCAGUACUAGUAGCAGUUGUCAUUAUUGCCAGGAGGUGACAAUGAUGAAGAACUAGAAAGGACCAUAGCACAGGACCAAAAAUUAUAAAAUGCUCAUGGUGGCCCCAAGGAGCCUGCAAGGGAACCCAGGGCCUGGUGGUACGGGUGGAGGUCAGGGAGUGCUUCCCAGAGGAGGUGGCAGUUGAGUCCCACACCCAUGGGGUAGCCAGGAUGCUGGGAAGGCACUUUUCAAAGGGAGACUGUGGUUUGAGGCGGGGUUGGAGGGCAUAGAGUCAUGCUGUGCGUCUCCCCCAGCUCUGCUGUCUGCAUGCCGACAUGCUGGGCUCACUGGGCCCCAAGGAGGCCAAGAAGGCCUUCCUGGACUUCUACCACAGCUUCCUGGAGAAGACAGCGGUUCUGCGGGUGCCAGUCCCUCCCAACGUCGCCUUUGAACUUGACCGCACUCGGCCCGACCUCAUCUCUGAGGAUGUCCAGCGGCGGUUUGUGCAGGAGGUGGUACAAAGCCAGCAGGCAGCUGUGAGCCGGCAGCUGGAGGACUUCCGCUCUAAGCGGCUCAUGGGCAUGACGCCCUGGGAGCAAGAGCUGACCCAGCUGGAGGCCUGGGUUGGGCGGGACCGAGCCAGCUACGAGGCCCGUGAGCGGCACGUGGCGGAGCGGCUGCUCAUGCACCUGGAGGAGAUGCAACCUACCAUCUCUACCGAUGAAGAAAAGAGUGCUGCCGUGGUCAAUGCCAUUGGCCUGUACAUGCGUCACCUUGGGGUGCGGACCAAGAGUGGGGACAAGAAGUCAGGGAGAAACUUCUUCCGGAAAAAGGUGAUGGGGAACCGGCGGUCGGACGAGCCUGCCAAGACCAAGAAGGGGCUGAGCAGCAUCCUGGAUGCCGCCCGAUGGAACCGGGGAGAGCCCCAGGUUCCAGAUUUUCGACACCUUAAAGUGGAAGUUGAUGCCGAGAAGCCAGGUGCUGCAGACCGGAAGGGAGGCCUGGGGGUGUCCUCUCGAGACCGGAAUGUUGGGGCUCCUGGGCAGGACACCCCUGGAGUCUCUCUGCACCCUCCGUCCCUGGACAGCCCAGACCGGGAACCAGGUGCUGAGGCUCCCCUGGAGCUAGGGGACUCGUCCCCGCAGGGCCCAAUGAGCCUGGAGCCCCCGGUGCCCCUGGAGAGUACUGAUGAGGGGGCUGAAACAGAGAGAAAGUGGAAGAGGCUAUCAGGGCGUCUGGGGCGCUCAGAGAGCCUGCGGGUGAGUGACCGCCGCCGGCCUUCCCGGGGCAGCCUCGGGGCUAAGGGCCGGGGUGGGGGCCGCUCCCGGAGCGACGUGGACAUGGACCCCAGUUCCGCAACGGCAGUGCUUGGCCCUGCCCAACGAGCCACCCCUGAGCCUGGAGAUGACGGGGAGCCGGGACGGUCAGGACUAGAGCUUGAACCAGAAGAGCCUCCCGGCUGGCGGGAACUCAUCCCCCCAGACACCCUGCACAGGCUACCCAAGAGCCAGGUGAAGCGGCAGGAGGUCAUCAGCGAGCUGCUGGUGACAGAGGCGGCCCAUGUGCGCAUGCUGCGGGUGCUGCACGAUCUCUUCUACCAGCCCAUGGCGGAGGGCGGCUUCUUCCCCCUGGAGGAGCUACAGAACAUCUUCCCCAGCCUGGACGAGCUCAUCGAGGUGCACUCCCUGUUCCUCGAUCGCCUGAUGAAGCGGAGGCAGGAGAGUGGCUACCUCAUCGAGGAGAUCGGAGAUGUACUGCUGGCCCGGUUUGAUGGUGCCGAGGGCUCCUGGUUCCAGAAAAUCUCCUCCCGCUUCUGCAGCCGCCAGUCAUUUGCCUUAGAGCAGCUCAAAGCCAAGCAACGCAAGGAGCCUCGGUUCUGUGCCUUCGUGCAGGAAGCUGAGAGCCGCCCGAGGUGCCGCCGCCUGCAGCUGAAGGACAUGAUCCCCACGGAGAUGCAGCGGCUGACCAAGUACCCCCUGCUCCUGCAGAGCAUCGGGCAGAACACAGAAGAGUCCACAGAACGGGAGAAAGUGGAGCUGGCCGCCGAGUGCUGCCGGGAAAUUCUACACCACGUCAACCAAGCUGUGCGUGACAUGGAGGACCUGCUGAGGCUCAAGGACUAUCAGCGGCGCCUGGACUUAUCCCACCUUCGGCAGAGCAGUGACCCCAUGCUGAGCGAGUUCAAGAACCUGGACAUCACCAAGAAGAAAUUGGUCCACGAGGGCCCACUGACGUGGCGAGUGACAAAGGACAAGGCUGUGGAGGUGCAUGUGCUGCUGCUGGACGAUCUGCUGCUGCUGCUCCAGCGCCAGGACGAGCGGCUGCUGCUCAAGUCCCACAGCCGGACGCUGACAGCCACGCCCGACGGCAAGACCAUGCUACGGCCCGUGCUGCGGCUCACCUCCGCCAUGACCCGCGAGGUGGCCACCGAUCACAAAGCCUUCUACGUCAUUUUUACCUGGGACCAGGAGGCCCAGAUCUACGAGCUGGUGGCACAGACUGUGUCAGAGCGGAAGAACUGGUGUGCCCUCAUCACCGAGACCGCUGGAUCCCUGAAAGUUCCUGCCCCUGCCUCUCGCCCUAAGCCCCGGCCCAGCCCAAGCAGCCCCCCGGGGCCAGGGGUGUGGGGUCACCCAGCACUUCCUCCCCUCAGCACCCGAGAACCCCUCCUCAGCAGCUCUGAGAACGGCAAUGGUGGCCGAGAGACGUCUCAGGCUGAUGCCCGGACAGAGAGAAUCCUCAGUGACCUCCUGCCCUUCUGCAGACCAGGCCCCGAGGGCCAGCUCGCUGCCACGGCCCUUCGGAAAGUGCUGUCCCUGAAGCAGCUUCUGUUUCCCGUGGAGGAAGACAGCGGGGCGGGGCCUCCUCCAGAUGGGCAUGGGGUCCCAGGGGGCAGCCCCCUGAGCCCAGCACGGACCCAGGAAAUCCAGGAGAACCUGCUCAGCUUGGAGGAGACCAUGAAGCAGCUGGAGGAGUUGGAGGAGGAAUUUUGCCGCCUGCGACCCCUCCUGUCGCAGCUUGGGGGGAACUCUGUCCCCCAGCCCGGCUGCACUUGAGGUCCCUGCCCAGGAAGCACCCUAUCCUCACCACCACCUGUAAGGUAGGAACUGCCAUGUUGGAUGCCCAUUUCACAGAUGUGGAAACUGAGGCUCUGACAGGAAAAGUAACUUGGCCAGAGUCCCACAGUGGUGAGGUGAGCCUGGAUUUGACUGCAGAAAAUUCGAUCCUGGGCCUGGAAUUAGGUCCCCGGCUUAAUCUGAGCGGAAACCAGCGAGGGGGAGACAGAGACAGAGAUGCUGGGAGAGACAGAGAUGGAGAGAUAGUAAGAGACAGAGAGAGGCAGAGAGAGACACACAGGGAGAGAGAAGCACAGAGAUUUGGUGAGAGAUAGUCUAAGAGUUGGACCCAAAGGGGAAGAGAAAGAUGCUUCGAGAGACAGAGAUAGACAGAUUGGGAGAGUUAGAGGUGGACACAGAGAUGCUGUGAGAGACAGAGACAGCGAGAAGAGACCCAGCCAGGGGAGACAUAGCAGAAGUGGCCCAGCAGGGCCCUGCCACAGUGGUGGAAUGACAGACAGAAGGGGGGUCCCAGAGGGCUCCUGGCCCCACAGAGGUCAGGGCCAGGCCUGUACUCCCUGCCUCAAAGUGUGCAGACCCCAAAUGUCCUUCCCACAGACCCUGUGACCUCCCUCAAUCCAAACAUCCAGACCCCAGAUAUCCAGAUCCAAAUUAGCAGACCCUCAGCCUUGAACUCCAACUCCAAAUCCAGAUUUCUGCCUCCCCGCCCCAAGUCCAAACUCCUAUGUGACUCCGGUCCCAGAGAGCCACAUCUCUCAGUCCUGACUCCCAGCCCCAGUCAGCUCCCAACCUCAGAUACCUAGAUCUUCCGCCCCAAGUAUCCAGUUUCUUGGCUCUGAGCCCCUAGGUCCCAAAUAUUCAAGCCCUCAGCCCUGACCUCUAAACCCCACUCAGAAUCUAGCCCCAAUAUCCAGACUCCUCAGUCCCAAACAUUCAAACCCAUCUACAGGUCGGCCACCAACCCCCUUUCCCAAAUUUUCAGUCCAGUCUCUCGCAGACCCCGUCUCCGAGGCUCUCGCUCGCUCUCCCUCGCCGCCCCCAAAUGUCGCACCUCUGUCCCGAGGCCGCACCCCUAGCGCUACCCGCCUCCCACCUUCCCAGAGUUGGGCGCAGCCCCACCUGCCCCCCACUGCCAGGGCGGAAGACCCCAUUCGCCAGCACCUCCUCGGGCUCGGAGGGCCCCGCUCCGCAGGUCUCCCAGGACCACCAACGCGCCCGCGCCCGCCCCCGCCUCGGGCGGGAAUCCCCGCCCCCUCCCCUCCCCGCCCGUGCGCCGGCCCGCGGCGCUCACUCACUUUCUGGGCUUUGCUCAUCUGCUCCGGUCCGGGGAGAAGUGCUUAAAGUUCGGAUCCCGCAGCCAUGGCCCCCGCGGCGUCCUGGGGAGGGGGCACCAGGGCGAGGGGCGGGGUGGGGGGAUAUCCGGAGCCCCGGGGAGGCAGAGACCCAGAGGACGCGGAGAGGGAGUCUCUGAGACGCCGGGGCGCGAGAGACUCAGAGACAGAGAGACAGCCAAGGACAGAGAGACUGGGGGACAAGCAGAGACAGGGAGGUGCAGAGAGGGAGAGAGACAGCGAGAAAGACGCGCAAAGAGCGGAGACGCAGAGAGCUGGGGCCGGAGCUCCGGGCGGGAGCGCAGCGCGGCGAGCGCGGCUGGGCGCGCGCCGGGGACCGCCGGGACGGCUGGGGGCGUGGGGCGGCCCUGCCUUCUGCGCCUCCUCCUCUUCCUCCUCUUCCUCCUCCUCCUCCCUCCGCUCCUCCUCCGCGCGCCGCGCGCCUCCCGCCCUCGCGGCCGCCCGGCCGGGCUCGGCGCGCAGAUAUAUGGAGGCGGCGGCGGCGGCGCGGGGGAGGGGGCGGGGGCGCGAUCGAUGGAAUAUAAUUUUCCUCAAACUCGGAAAAUAAAGUUCAGAGCUGAUCAAAUUUGAAAACA